rnacentral:sRNA from 1 species
CACCGCCUGGGGAGUACGACCGCAAGGUUAAAACUCAAAUGAAUUGACGGGGACCCGCACAAGUAGUGGAGCAUGUGGUUUAAUUCGAAGAUACGCGCAGAACCUUACCAACACUUGACAUGUUCGUCGCGACUUUAAGAGAUUAAAGUUUUCGGUUCGGCCGGACGAAACACAGGUGCUGCAUGGCUGUCGUCAGCUCGUGUCGUGAGAUGUUGGGUUAAGUCCCGCAACGAGCGCAACCCUCACUUUUAGUUGCCAUCAUUUAGUUGGGCACUCUGAAAGAACUGCCAGUGAUAAGCUGGAGGAAGGUGGGGAUGACGUCAAGUCCUCAUGGCCCUUACGUGUUGGGCUACACACGUGCUACAAUGGUAUUUACAAAAGGAAGCAAGACGGCGACGUUAAGCAAAUCCUUAAAAAAUACCUCAGUUCGGAUUGCACUCUGCAACUCGAGUGCAUGAAGCUGGAAUUACUAGUAAUCGUGGAUCAGCGUGCCACGGUGAAUGCGUUCCCGGGUCUUGUACACACCGCCCGUCACACCGUGGGAGUUGGUUCUACCUUAAGGCAAGGUUUUAAACCCUUGACCACGGUAUAGUCAGCGACUGGGGUGAAGUCGUAACAAGGUAGCCGUAGGGGAACCUGCGGCUGGAUUACCUCCUUUCUAAGGAUGAGUGAAAUAUUAUUUCACUCUAAAUAAUAUACAGGCUAAUGUUGACCGUCCUCAUUUCUCUUCUUAAAGCAGUGUUUCUCUUGCAUGGGGGCCGGUAGCUCAGUUGGUUAGAGCACACCCUUGAUAAGGGUGGGGUCGAAAGUUCGAGUCUUUCUCGGCCCACCAAUUUAAGAUCUUGGGGGAUUAGCUCAGCUGGGAGAGCGCCUGAUUUGCAUUCAGGAGGUCAGCGGUUCGAUCCCGCUAUCCUCCACCAGAAACACUUAGUUAUAAAAAAUUGUGAAUAAAAAUAAUUAAUAUCAAUAUCUAUAUCCGAACAUUAGAAAUGUUAUUAACUAAUGUUCAAACAAAAAUUUGAUUCAACACAGAAUUUUUUUCUG